rnacentral:lncRNA from 1 species
AAAUGCAGCGCAUAGAGAAGUCCUGUAAAGUGUACAGUAGCAGGAGGAAGGAACAUCAUUCAGUGACGGUGUACACAGAGAGCAGGACAUCUUAGAAACUCACGUGCAUUUCAGCACAUUCUGUGCCAUUGCAUGAAGAGAUGGGAUGAGAGAUGAGAGAUGGUAUUCUAGGGCCUGAAGAAAUGAGCCCUACCUGCAGCAUCUUUGCAGAGGCCAGGGAUACUGACAUCAGUGUGCCAAACACCUUGUAAAGGGAAGUUUCUACAGCUACUGAGGAGUGACAGAUUGCUGUGGUAUGUGAUGCACUUCUGAAACACGCCUGAAUCACUGCGGGAUGUCCCCAUGCUCUGCCAGCAUUGAGCACAGAAAUUCACCAAGCAGGGAGAAGCCUAUUCUCAACUUCAGAAGAAGCUGGAUGGUGGUGCAUUUGUGCACCAGGAAAGGAUGGAAAUGCAGCAUGGAAAGGCUGCAUGAGACAGUCCUGACCUCUACCGUAGUGGGGGCUGCAAAAUGCAGACACUUCUCUGCAUUCUGCUGUGAAGAGGCCUUCAAGCCCU